GCCAGAGGACCCCUAAACUCUGUUUCUAUAUGUAACUUCUGAGUAAAACCAUAAAUAAAUCAAAACUUUCAACAACGGAUCUCUUGGUUCUGGCAUCGAUGAAGAACGCAGCAAAAUGCGAUAAGUAAUGUGAAUUGCAGAAUUCAGUGAAUCAUCGAAUCUUUGAACGCACAUUGCGCCCGCCAGUAUUCUGGCGGGCAUGCCUGUUCGAGCGUCAUUUCAACCCUCAAGCACAGCUUGGUGUUGGGACUCGCGUUAAUUCGCGUUCCCCAAAUUGAUUGGCGGUCACGUCGAGCUUCCAUAGCGUAGUAGUAAAACCCUCGUUACUGGUAAUCGUCGCGGCCACGCCGUUAAACCCCAACUUCUGAAUGUUGACCUCGGAUCAGGUAGGAAUACCCGCUGAACUUAAGCAUAUCAAUAAGCGGAGG
rnacentral:rRNA from 1 species